rnacentral:rRNA from 1 species
GACGAACGCUGGCGGCGUGCUUAACACAUGCAAGUCGAACGGAAAGGCCCUACUUUCUUGGUGUUCUCGAGUGGCGAACGGGUGCGUAACACGUGAGUAACCUGCCCUUGACUUUCGUAUAACUUCAGGAAACUGGGGUUAAUACCGUAUAGCAUCUCCUGCUGCAUGGUGGGGGUUGGAACGUUGCGGCGGUUGGGGAUGGACUCGCGGCUUACCAGCUUGUUGGUUGGGUAGUGGCUGGCCAAGGCAUUGACGGGUCGCCGGCCGGGGAGGGUGGCCGGGCACAAUGCUACUGAGAGAGGGCCCAGACUGCAAUGUGAGGCAGCGGUGGGGAGUAUGGUACAGCGAUAGCGAGUGUGAUGCGGAAGCGUCGCGGUCGGGAAGACGGCCUUCGGGGUAAAAACCGCUUCCGCCUGAGACGAAGCGGUAGUGACGGUAAUGGAUAAAGAAGCACCGGCUAACUACGUG